rnacentral:lncRNA from 1 species
ACAACAACUAAUUUUAACUCGUUGUUGAAACUAAAAAAAAAAAAAAUUGACAUUCAAAGUAGUCGUUAAUUGUGUUUUCAAUUUCCACAUCUUAAAAUUUUGCUUCCCGCCUAAAAAUUCACUUGGCUCUUGAAAUUUCAUUUCACAGUCAAAUAAUUUUCAUUCACCCACGCUGGCAUUUCAUUUCAUUCCAGAACCCUAACCUCAAAUCCAUAACUUCAUCUCUUCUCAUGGAUUUGCACCGCCUCACUCUUCCUCUUCCUCACUAUCUCUGACUCUUUCUCUUUGAGCAUAUAGAGAGAAAAGGGAACCUCAAUUUUCAAUAUGUGUUCGAAUCAGAACAGAACAGAGUCCCACAGUAAUUGAAAUCCUAAUUGUGCAGCCGAUUAGAAAUAGCAAUUGAACAGAAUCCCAUUAGUCCCUUUGAGUCCCAUUACACACAGCAAUUGAACGGAGACUUUCCAUCCGCCAUCCGCUUGUGCCGUUGUGCGGGAGAUUCAAUCGACAUAAGAGACGGGAAAAAUUUUGCAGUGCUGUUGCUAUCGAUUUAGCCAUCCGCCUCUCGUCGUUGACAGUUGCCACGGUAGUCCAUCACCAAUUGCCACAGUCGUCUGCUUCACAAGCCCGAGGUGACUACAGCCUUUAAAUUAUUUUGUGUUUUGAUUUUUACUUACAUCUACUUUGAUUGAUGAUUUGUGAAUGGGUAGCUCUAUUUACAUCCAUUUAAGUAUAUCCACUUUUAAAAAUAAAAUUUUACUAGUCAUAUAUAAAUUUACUUAAAUAGACAUAAGUAGUAAUGAAAUCCACACCCAUUUGUUGAAUCAAUUACUUCAAUUCUACCCAAAUCAUCAAAAUUAUAUUCUGCCGGACGAAAAAUUAUAAUUGGCAGCCGGCUACUGUUCAGUUUUGAGUUUUACCAGCAAACCCCAGCAAUUCUUUUGUUGUUCUUCUUCAUUUUCUCAUUCUUCUUAUCCAUUUUUUUCAAAAUCAAAGGAUGGCUGUUGGCUAAUGAUUUUAGGUUGUGUUUGGACGUGGCUGUAGGAUGGUGGGUUUUUGGUUUUUUGUGGGUGUGGGGUGGGUGUUCGAGGAGAAAGAACAUGUCUUGGUUUUAUCCAGUGACACAGUGGGCAGCACCUUGUUGCCGGAGAAGAACGGAGGAGGGGGACCAGGUGGGGAGAACAUUGGGAUUUGGGAAAUUGGAAUUUGUCUUUUGACUUUUGUUUUUUGUUUUAUGUUUUUCUUUUUAUGUUUUAAUAUUAUUCUAAACUUACUCAAAUAGAACUUUGACAUCCACUUACAGAUGAUCCAGCAAAGUUAUCAUUUGUAUGAUUGCUUUAAUGAUAAAAUUGCCUUCUUUGGGCAAAAAAAAACUAAGUAGUCUCGGAUAUAAUGAUGAGUUUGCCAAUCAUAAAUGCCAGAAACGAUUAUUGUUUGUAAUCCAAUUAUAAUUAUUUUAUCUCAUUUUAAAUAUCCCUUGUUCUGAUCUUAUUUCAUUCAUUUGUUUUGAAAGAAUUUAUGGUUUUAGAAAUUGUAUGAAUCUAUAGUGUUAGGAAUGUAUUUAAAGUAGAAUGAAUAUAUAAAAUUCACGUGGAUAUAUAAUAUUUAAAUGAAUGGAUUUAAUAAGGGGAAAAUUGGAAAUGACGUGGAUGUUAAUAGUAUUUUUUUAAAAAUUUUAAAAUUUUAUUAGGGAUUAACUUAGCGUGGGAUGUACUUAUAAAAAGCGUGGAUGGAAAUAGCAGUACCUUUUGUGAAUAUCUGUGACUGUGAGUCUGUGAAUUGGUUGAACUUACAUAUUCUGAAUAACUCCUGAUUAAUUCAUUCUAUUUUCUUUGGGAUGGAUUUUGGGUAAUUUUUUAUUGAUAUUUUAACAAACUUUUCUAUCACAAUGAUGGAAAUAGAAAAAUAUUUUUAAGAAGCAAGAAAUUUUGCAAACGAGGAUGCAACGAUCUUGCAAUGAUAUUUUUUAGAUCGUUGCAUCACAAUGGGCAAUAAUUUUGCAAACGAGUACUUGGAUCAGUUACAACAGGUAAUGUCAAAUAGUUUAUUCACACACCUUCUAUGAAGGGGAAUAAGCAAUUGAAUCUUGAUCAUGAUAAUUGGCAUGAAAAGCCUUCCCUUUCUUUGCUUCUUGACGUUUCUUUAAAGAAAAUAAAAAAAUAAAAUUGUUCUUUCCACAUCAUUGUUUAUAUGAAGCAAUUCUGAAAGGGGACUAUCUAUUUUGCAGGAGUAGUAGUACAUGUACUUUGUCAAACCAUUUUUUUAAUCAAAGUAUAUACUUUGAUUAAAUUUCUUGAAUUAGUACAUUGGGUUUAUUAUUUCUAUAGUGGUUAAUAUGAUUCCCUUUUUACUCUUUCAGUUGUUUUGUUAUUUUUCUUUCAUAGGUUAAGAAAUGUCAGUGGAUAAGAGUUGGACGUUGCAUAAUAGGAUAAGAGUUGGACAUUGCUGACUAAUAGAUAAGAGAUGCAUUAUAGCAAUGAAUGCGGGUAGACAACUAAAGAAGCGGAGUCUCAUUAUGUGAGCAACUGAUGCUUUUGAAAGAAUCUGAAAUAUGUGAGCAAGUUUUGAGCAAGAGAUUUAGCUAUGUUGAUCAAUAGAAAAAUUCAAAGAAGACAAUGUUAAAAAAUUGUGGUACUUGUUUAGAGAAUGCUGCUUUACAGAAUGAGGUUCAAGAUCUUUGUUUUCAAUUGGAAUCUAUGUAGACUUUCUUAAAUUGCAUUCUAGAAGAGUUUCUUCUUCAACCUAAUAUUAUUAACAAUUGGCUUUCCUCACUUUUUAUAAUUGUUUUUUUAUUGUGGAAAAAUUUUGCUUGUAGUAUGAUGUCAACGUGUGACAAUUAUGAAUCCAUUAAUAUUAUCGUCG